rnacentral:lncRNA from 1 species
UUUACAUUUUAUACAAUAUAAAAAAUCAAUUUAAAUCCAAAAUACAUAUAGAAAAAUACAAACAAUAAACAAAUUUAAAAACUUUCAAAUCCUCAAAUUUAUCAUUCAAAUUAAAUCUUGUUUUUUAUAUUAAUUUUAAUAAACAUAGUGAGGAUAUCAUUUUCAUUAAAUAAUAUAUAGUGGUUUUAUUUUAAAAAUGAUUAUAUAUAUAUAUUUAACCAGUAUAAUGAAUUUCAUUUAUGAGCUUUAAUUUCAACUACCUAUUGCAUAUUAAGUCAAACAUUACUCCCAUUAAAGAGUGAUUAGGAAUAAAUUGAUCCUAAUUCCUAACAGUUGUCCUGCUUGUCUUACUACCUGUAAAGGAAAAUAAAAAAGAAAUAUGCUAGCUAGGUGUAAAUGCAUGGCAGCUGUCCUACUAUUGAUAGCCUAGACAGUGUCUUGGUUUUGGCUAGGAGUAAAGGAAAAUAAAAAUGAAAAUAUAAAAAAAAAAAUCAAAUGACAGAAAACUUAGAAAGAAAACUGAAGAGGCCUAAAGUCUAUCAUCCUCUCAAAACUUAUAUCCUUUCAAAACUCUAUCAAAUUCUUGGAAUAUGCUGGUUGUGCCUUUUCCCUUCAUCUCUAACCUAAAGUCUAAAAAACAUAUUUGCACUGCAAAAACAAGCAAAAAGCCAAGAAUCAAGACAAUUUUAGAUACUUAUUUGAAAAUUUUCAAUCACUGAAUGUGAAAGUGAUCAGGGUUUACUUUGUUUGCCAUUUGAUUUGGAGUUUAGGGACUGAAAUAUGAGAAAUAUAAUUUCAUAUUUUCUAUUGCUUUUGAGUUUUGAAUUUUGAUAGCUUUUUUCUAUUUAUUUGGUCUUCUUUUCGCUUUUUUUUGAUUGAAAACACUCUGGUUUUGCAAGUAGAGAAAUAUAUUUUCUUUUGUUUUAUUAUGUUUCACUGUUUCUGUUGAUUUUUAUUUAGAAAAGAUGGAUUUUUUUUAAUUUACUGUAACAGAAAAUAACGAGAAUAGUGGCCCGUUAUUGCCGCAAUUGGUCGUUACCCGUUAAAUUGCGGCCGCGUGGCCCGACCCGAAGGCCCGCCCGAAAUGUGAGAAAGUUUGGACAAAAAUAUAAGCCCGAAAAAUAGGCUUGGGUAAAAAAAAUAAGGCCCGUUUAAAAAACAGGCCGGAACUCAGGUAAGGCAUUUUUGAGCCGGACUCGGCCUGACCCGACCUGAAUUCACUACAUGAAAAAAAAAUUUUAAUAUUAUUUUCUUAUUGUUUUCUCACUAUUUUGCUACUAUUUUGUAAUUAUUGUUUGAAUAUUGUAUAAAACUUAUUUUAUUGUUAAUUUUUUAUUAUUUUAAAGACAUUUGUUAAUUUUGUUAUUAUUUUAAAAACAUUUGUUUGUUAAGUUAUUUAAGUAUACAUAUUUUUUAAAAUUUAAUUUCAAUUUGUUGAGAAAUAUUUAUUUGAUGUUUUUAGUAUUUUUGAUGGUUUAUAUAUGUUUUAAAACUAUAUAAAAAUAAUAUAAAAUUUUAUAUGGGUAGGCUAGGUCGGGCCCAAAUUUUAACAUUUUUAUUUGAGUCAGAUUUGAAAAAAAUUUUAGGCCCAUUUUUCAGGCCGGGCCAGACCCAAGCCUAAUAAACGAGCCUAAAUUUUUAGUUGUGUCCGGCCCGGCCCAUGCACACCUCUAAGCGCGACUCACCGCUAUUAGUGUGAUUUCGCUUCACAUCGCUAUUUUCAGCAAUAACAUUUUAAGACGGUGCCGCUACCGCUAUAUAGCGGCGGCUAUAGCGGUAUCAGACUGAUAUUUAAAUCCCUGAUGAGAAUACCCAUCACCGAUCAUUUAUCACAAUUACAAUAUGGGCUCUCUGGUUGUCAAGGAAAAAACUGGUGCAUGAGGGAAGUAGGCAAACCGUUAAUGAGUUCAGUUCAUUUGUUCUAAGGUGUGUUAAAGAACUGGAAAUGAUAGAAAAGAUUUACCCAAAGGCUAGCCAAGAUCAGCCUGUGCGAUGGACCCCUCCAAAGACCCGAUGGGUUAAGGCCAACUUUGACGAGGGUUUUUGCAGUGACCUGCAAAAAUCCAGUAUAAGAGCUGUUAUUCGAGAUGAAAAUGGUCUGUUAAUGGGGGCAUAUUGUAGUUGGAAUAGAAAUAUUCAGUCACCUGAAGCGGCGGAGGCUUUGGCUGCAGUUCAAGCUGUUCGUUUUGCCCAGGACAUGGGUUUUCGUAAAGUCACGGGGAUUCAAUGGUGGUCAUCUCAAAAAUAAAGGCGCAACAUUUGGAUAGAUCGGAGGUUAGCAUAUAUAUACAGGGGAAGCCAAGUAGUUACUUAUGGGUUUUGAGAAGUUUAAAUUUUAGCAUAUAAAAAGGGGAGGGAAUCGAGUUGCUCACAUAUUAGCCAAGGAAGACUUUCGCCGGAAACAUGACAUGCAAUGGGCGGAAGAGGGCCCAACGAUGAUACGGGAAACAGUGGCGAUGGAGGAAAUGAGGAUCAAUCACGCCGAUUCGUAACCUCUUCGUGGUAUGAGAAAGCUGUACUUGUGAAUCUAAGCAGCAAUUUCAUGGACAUUCUUCAUUUUUGAACCUUCACUGGAGAUUUGGGAUCAGAAAUGAAGGGUCUCUGAGCUGGUGUGCAUAGGAAAUCGUUGGGUUUCUUUUCGUGGUUUUAUGUUAUUGGUUUUAAUGUUUUAUGGUUUUGCUUUUAUUUGUAUUUUAUUGGCUUAUCGGUACUGAACACUUUAUUUAAUGUUGGUUUUAAUAAAGCAGGCCAAUAUUAUUUAAAAAAACCUUAUAUGACAAUAAAAAGUAGAUUUUGUCAA